ACGGAUAUGAUGAAAUUGGUAGACGUGUUAGGUUUAGAUUCUAAUGAUGUAAAUCGUGAGGGUUCGAAUCCCUCUAUCCGUA
rnacentral:tRNA from 1 species